GGCCCGUUAGUCAGCGGUUGUGAGCGUCGUGCUAAUAACGAAGGUCGUGGGUUCGAUCCCCUUACGGGCCA